UACGGAAGGCAGCAGUGGGGAAUAUUGCACAAUGGGCGCAAGCCUGAUGCAGCCAUGCCGCGUGUAUGAAGAAGGCCUUCGGGUUGUAAAGUACUUUCAGUCGUGAGGAAGGUGUUAAGGUUAAUAACCUUAGCAAUUGACGUUAGCGACAGAAGAAGCACCGGCUAACUCCGUGCCAGCAGCCGCGGUAAUACGGAGGGUGCGAGCGUUAAUCGGAAUUACUGGGCGUAAAGGGCACGCAGGCGGUUAAUUAAGUUGGAUGUGAAAUCCCCGGGCUUAACCUGGGAAUGGCAUUCAAGACUGGUUAGCUAGAGUCUUGUAGAGGGGGUAGAAUUCCAUGUGUAGCGGUGAAAUGCGUAGAGAUGUGGAGGAAUACCGGUGGCGAAGCGGCCCCUGGACAAAGACUGACGCUCAUGUGCGAAAGCGUGGGGAGCGAAAC
rnacentral:rRNA from 1 species